UCCUUGGUGGCUCAGACGGUAAAGAAUCUGCCUGUAAUGCAGAAGACCCGGGUUUGAUCCCUGGGUCAGGAA
rfam:Ovis aries breed Texel chromosome 12, whole genome shotgun sequence.